rnacentral:lncRNA from 1 species
AUUUAUAUAAACGAAUUGGCAAAAACCAUAGAAAAAUCAACAUCACCUGGUGUCACCCUACACGACUCGGAGACCAAACUCCUGCUCUAUGCCGAUGACCUGGUUCUGCUGUCACCCACUGAACAGGGAUUACAGCAAAAUCUGGAUCUGCUAGAGCAGUACUGCCAGACCUGGGCCCUGGCAGUAAACCUAAACAAAACUAAAAUAAUGAUAUUCGAAAAAAGAUCCAGAUCUCAGAUACAAAAACACAAUUUUACAAUAGGGCCACACUCAAUUGAACACACAAAUAACUACAGAUAUUUAGGCUUAAUAAUCAAUUCAAAUGGAAAGUUCAAUCUUGCAGUGAAUGAUUUGAGAGAAAAAGCACGCAGGGCUUUCUAUGCCAUAAAACGACAAAUCCCUGUAGAAAUUCCAAUCCGAAUCUGGCUCAAACUAUUCGAAUCAGUAAUUGAGCCAAUUGCCCUUUAUGGCAGUGAGGUGUGGGGUCCACUUACAAAUCAGGAAUUCAACAAAUGGGAAAAACAUCCAAUUGAGACCUUGCAUGCAGAGUUCUGCAAAAGCAUUUUAAAAGUCCACAGAUGUGCCAUACACAAUGCAUGCAGGGCAGAAUUAGGCCAAUAUCCAUUGAUUACAAAAAUACAGAAAAGGGCAAUCAAAUUCUGGAAACACUUAAAAAGCAGUGACCCCCACUCCCAUCAUUAUAAAGCCCUGCAAUACCAAGAGUUGAGCAAAGAUACAUGUCCCCUCACUCAGCUGGUCCUGAGCUUGAGCUCUCCAGAUCCCCACACACACACUAACACCCUACUAACACCUCAGGACCAGUACAGAAAGGCACCUGAAAUUAGGAUAAACCAAAUUGGAAAAACAAUUAAGCAAAAUUACAUAAGCCAUUGGAAAACACAAACAAAAACACAAAGUAAAAUGCAAUUCUAUUUGGCCCUAAACAGAAAUUAUGAUUUAGCACCCUAUUUGACCCUGAUCACAGACAAAAAUCUGAGAACCACGUUGACAAAGUACAGACUCAGUGAACACAGCCUGGCCAUAGAGGUGGGUAGGCACAGACAAACCUGGCUGCCCAAGGAAAACAGACUGUGCCCCCAUUGCGAACAAGGAACAGUAGAGACAGAGCUGCACUUCCUGACACAGUGCACAAAAUAUGAGGACAUAAGACUAAAUUAUUUUUAAAAGAUUAGUGAGGUCCUCCCUGAGUUCCUGCUUGCGAGCAGUGAGGAGAGG